UUUAAGCGAGGAGGAGGCUCCCAGUAUUAAUACUACUGGAGAGUGGACGUUACUCGCAGAAUAAGCACCGGCUAACUCUGUGCCAGCAGCCGCGGUAAUACAGAGGGUGCAAGCGUUAAUCGGAUUUACUGGGCGUAAAGCGUGCGUAGGUGGCCAAUUAAGUCAAAUGUGAAAUCCCCGAGCUUAACUUGGGAAUUGCAUUCGAUACUGGUUGGCUAGAGUAUGGGAGAGGAUGGUAGAAUAAGGGCGAAUUCGUUUAAACCUGCAGGACUAG
rnacentral:rRNA from 1 species